rnacentral:lncRNA from 1 species
GGGAGCCUGGAAAAGCAAGUAUCUGACAUUUCCUGGGAGAGUGGGGUGGUUCUUGGUUGGCAACCAACAGUGUCGGCCUCACGACACUUUGAUUCUUGAUCAAGAGAAGAAACAAUGUCUAUAGGCAGGGGGUGUGGCUCCCAGUUUUUUGGCAGCAAACUUUUGUGGGUCACGGUUUGCCAGCAGUUAUUGUGGUUACGGUGGUGGUGAGCAGCAGGAAAUUGCUCCAGAGAGAGGCGGAAGGGACAACAGAAGGCUGCCAGUCACCUGCUGCAGGCCCAUGGAAGCACCCUCACAGCACCAGCGGCAAUGAGAAAUUGCUGACUUUAUUUGGGAAGUCGGAAACUCAGAUCCUCAUGAUCAAGUGUUUCCUUUCAAACCAAGACCCAAAAGGACUACACAGGUGGAUGAAUGAACAGCUAAAGGUAGCCUCAGACGUCUGCCACAUGGAGUUCAGACCAGAGCUGCUCAUCCCCUCACCCCACACCUUGCCAGAAAGCAGACUCAAACCAUCCAGUGAAGGAAUGAGAGGCUCCGGGCAUUUUUGGAGUAUCAUCUGAAGAGUCACACACAUCUGACAACUGUUGAUUACCUAGGAGGACAGACCUUGUCAGUAUCUUCUCUAUUUAGCCAAUUCUCAGACAGAUGGUGCAUGAGCCAGGUGAGUAUUCAGCAAUGAGCAGGGGAGCGGGAGGGACACGGAGGGUGUUAGAAUAGUCAUCUGGUGCAUCACCUAUGGCUGGUACAGAGGAUCUUACUGCUGUAGGAGAGCCACUAUCAUAUUUGACAAAUGCUCAAGGCAGAAAAUUGAUACUAUUUUUUUCCAGAGGGGAGGGAAUGUGUCAAAGACUAAGACAAGGAGUUAAACUCAGUAAAAGCUGCCCUGUAGGAGUUAGGAGAAGAUGCCGUGAUGAGGGAAAGAAGCCUCUCUUCCUUCCCCAUCCCAAAAAGACACAGACCCC